rnacentral:rRNA from 1 species
GACAGAGGUGCCGAGCGUUAGGCGGAAUCACUGGGCUUAAAGCGUGUGUAGGCGGAUCGUUAAGUGCCUUGUGAAAUCCCACGGCUCAACCGUGGAACUGCUUGGCAUACUGGCGAUCUUGAGCCACUUAGGGGCUACCGGAACAAAUGGUGGAGCGGUGAAAUGCGUAGAUAUCAUUUGGAACGCCAAUGGUGAAAACAGGUAGCUGGGAGUGUGCUGACGCUGAGACGCGAAAGCGUGGGGAGCAAACAGG